AUUGAACGCUGGCGGCAGGCUUAACACAUGCAAGUCGAGCGGAGAUGAGGUGCUUGCACCUUAUCUUAGCGGCGGACGGGUGAGUAAUGCUUAGGAAUCUGCCUAUUAGUGGGGGACAACAUUCCGAAAGGAAUGCUAAUACCGCAUACGUCCUACGGGAGAAAGCAGGGGAUCUUCGGACCUUGCGCUAAUAGAUGAGCCUAAGUCGGAUUAGCUAGUUGGUGGGGUAAAGGCCUACCAAGGCGACGAUCUGUAGCGGGUCUGAGAGGAUGAUCCGCCACACUGGGACUGAGACACGGCCCAGACUCCUGCGGGAGGCGGCAGUGGGGAAUAUUGGACAAUGGGGGGAACCCUGAUCCAGCCAUGCCGCGUGUGUGAAGAAGGCCUUAUGGUUGUAAAGCACUUUAAGCGAGGAGGAGGCUACUGAGACUAAUACUCUUGGAUAGUGGACGUUACUCGCAGAAUAAGCACCGGCUAACUCUGUGCCAGCAGCCGCGGUAAGAC
rnacentral:rRNA from 1 species